rnacentral:rRNA from 1 species
GACGAACGCUGGCGGCGUGCUUAACACAUGCAAGUCGAACGGAAAGGCCCUGCUUUUGUGCGGUGCUCGAGUGGCGAACGGGUAAGUAACACGUAAGUAACCUGCCCUUGACUGUGGGGUAACUUCAGAAAACUGGGGCUAUUACCGGCUAGGAGUUCCUGCUGCAUGGUGGGGGUUGGAAAGUUUCGGCGGUUGGGGAUGGACUCGCGUCUUAUCAGGUUGUUGGUGGGGUAGUGGCUUACCAAGGCCUUGACGGGUAGCCGUCCUGAGAGGGUGAGCGGCCAGAUUGGGCUUGAGAUACGGCCCAGCCUCCUCCCGGAGGCAGGAGUGGGGAAUAUUGUACAAUGCGAUGAACGAUGAUGUAGUAAAGCAACGUCCGGGGUGUCGGCCAUCGGUUUGUAAUCCGCUUUCGCCUGAGCCGGAGCGUUAGUGACAGUAACGGGUAAAGAAGCACCGGCUAACUCCGUG